rnacentral:snoRNA from 1 species
CCUGUCCCUAGAGGCAUUGCAGGUGUGGCCGCUGUGUCCCGCAUGCGUCAGUAGGUGGCAGAGGGGAGAGAUCUGUCUGGGUCCCUGGCCCUGAAGGAGGAGGGGUCUGUUACC